ACAGGAAUCCCGCAUUAGAAAGUCUGACUCUGGAGACCACAGUCUUGACCGUGACACUAUACUGCCUCUGGGAAGUUCAAAGCCUCGCAGAGAGACCAGAGGAGAGAGAGCAGGGGUCAGGGCAGUGAAGUGCAAGGAGCUGCGGCUCUGGGGCAGAUGCAUGGUGGGCACCUGUUAGUGGGGACCUCAGUGUUGUGGUACCAGUGCACACACACUCCAGGGUGUAUAAGAGAUCCCUUCUUCUGUAUCCUCAUCAGAACUUGAUGCUGUUAGACUUCUCAAUUGUGUGCCAGUGUGAAGAGUCUCUGCAGCUUGAUGGAGAACUUCUUGAGGACAAAGCCCACAUCUUAGUAAUGAUUGCUCCGUCUUGCUCCUACCUAAGGACUACUUGUUCUAUUGAUAUGUAUCAAAAGAAU